UACAGAGGUCUCAAGCGUUUGUUCGGAUUCAUUGGGCGUAAAGGGUGCGUAGGCGGCGCGGUAAGUCGGGUGUGAAAUCUCGGAGCUUAACUCCGAAACUGCAUUCGAUACUGCGGUGCUUGAGGACUGGAGAGGAGACUGGAAUUCAUGGUGUAGCAGUGAAAUGCGUAGAGAUCAUGAGGAAGACCAGUGGCGAAGGCGGGUCUCUGGACAGUUCCUGACACUGAGGCACGAAGGCCAGGGGAGCAAACGGG
rnacentral:rRNA from 1 species